rnacentral:misc_RNA from 1 species
CUUCUUCCUCUUACUCGAAACAGACGUAGAUUUGAACUCUGGUAUUAGUAGAGCUUCAUCAGUGAUUAAUUCUUCGUAAAGGCGGAGGCUGUAAGUUCAGGGAAAAAAAAGCCUCAGAUUGUUCAUGGUUUGAUGCAUCCUAAGUUGGAUAAUUUUAGGGUUCAAAUAUUAUGUAUCAAUUUUUAACAUUUGGUAUUGCAUUCUUCAUAAAUCUAAUGCUAACUUCAACCCAAAUGUAUUUUUCCC